GCCGAGGUGGUGGAAUUGGUAGACACGCACGCUUGAGGGGCGUGUGGGGAGACCCGUGCGGGUUCGAAUCCCGCUCUCGGCACCA
rnacentral:tRNA from 1 species